UACGUAGGGUGCAAGCGUUAAUCGGAAUUACUGGGCGUAAAGAGUGCGUAGGCGGCUAUGUAAGACAGAUGUGAAAUCCCUGGGUUUAACCUAGGAACUGCAUUUGUGACUGCAUGGCUAGAGUGUGGUAGAGGGAGAUGGAAUUCCGCAUGUAGCAGUGAAAUGCGUAGAUAUGCGGAGGAACACCAAUGGCGAAGGCAAUCUUCUGGACCUGCACUGACGCUCAUGCACGAAAGCGUGGGGAGCAAACAGG
rnacentral:rRNA from 1 species